rnacentral:snRNA from 1 species
GGAUGUGAGGGCGAUCUGGCUGCGACAACCCCAUUGAUUGCCAGGGUUGAUUCGGCUGAUCUGGCUGGCUAGGCAGGUGUCUCCUUCCUCCCUCACCGCUCCAUGUACGUCCCUCCCGAAGCUGCGCGCUCGGUCGAACAGGACGACCAUCCCCGAUAGAGGAGGACCGUUCUUCGGUCAAGGGUAUAUGAGUAGCUGCGCUCCCUUGCUAGAACCUCCAAACAAGCUCUCAAGGUCCAUUUGUAGGAGAACGUAGGGUAGUCAAGCUUCCAAGACUCCAGACACAUCCAAAUGAGGCGCUGCAUGUGGCAGUCUGCCUUUCNNN